rnacentral:rRNA from 1 species
GGAGCCACAAGUAGGGAUCAGUAUUAUUGGGCCUAAAGCGUUCGUAGCCGGUUCUGUUAAUCCUAUGUGAAAUCGCCAGGCUUAACCUGGUGGCGUGCAAAGGACACUGCAGAACUUGAGACCGGGGAGAGGUUAGAGGUAUUUGAGGGGUAGCGGUAAAAUGCAAUAAUCCCUUGAGGACCACCUGUGGCGAAGGCGUCUAACUAGAACGGGUCUGACGGUGAGGAACGAAAGCCAGGGGAGCGAACC